GGAGUUUCAGGCUGGAGACAUGCUUAAUUAUACAACAUCUGAUGGAUCAGUUAAGAUCCAGAAAGAAUGUGAAGUGAGACUAAAGAUUAUUGGCACCAGAGUCGAUGCCACUGAAAUCUUUUGUGUGGGCACCAUCAAAGACGAUU